ACCCGCUGAACUUAAGCAUAUCAAUAAGCGGAGGAAAAGAAACCAACAGGGAUUGCCCUAGUAACGGCGAGUGAAGCGGCAACAGCUCAAAUUUGAAAUCUGGCCCUCGGGUCCGAAUUGUAAUUUGUAGAGGAUGCUUUUGGUGAGGUACCUUCCGAGUUCCCUGGAACGGGACGCCAUAGAGGGUGAGAGCCCCGUCUGGUCGGAUACCGAUCCUCUGUAAAGCUCCUUCGACGAGUCGAGUAGUUUGGGAAUGCUGCUCUAAAUGGGAGGUAUAUGUCUUCUAAAGCUAAAUAUUGGCCAGAGACCGAUAGCGCACAAGUAGAGUGAUCGAAAGAUGAAAAGCACUUUGAAAAGAGAGUUAAAAAGUACGUGAAAUUGUUGAAAGGGAAGCGCUCAUGACCAGACUUGGGCUUGGUUGAUCAUCCAGGGUUCUCCCUGGUGCACUCUUCCAGCCCAGGCCAGCAUCAGUUCGCUGUGGGGGAUAAAGGCUUUGGGAAUGUGGCUCCUCCGGGAGUGUUAUAGCCCAUUGUGUAAUACCCUGUGGUGGACUGAGGUUCGCGCAUCUGCAAGGAUGCUGGCGUAAUGGUCAUCAGCGACCCGUCUUGAAACACGG
rnacentral:rRNA from 1 species